rnacentral:rRNA from 1 species
CCUACGGGUGGCAGCAGUGGGGAAUAUUGGACAAUGGGCGAAAGCCUGAUCCAGCCAUGCCGCGUGUGUGAAGAAGGCCUUCGGGUUGUAAAGCACUUUCAGUGGGGAAGAAAGCCUUGGGGCUAAUACCCUCGAGGAAGGACAUCACCCACAGAAGAAGCACCGGCUAACUCCGUGCCAGCAGCCGCGGUAAUACGGAGGGUGCGAGCGUUAAUCGGAAUUACUGGGCGUAAAGCGCGCGUAGGCGGUCUGAUAAGCCGGUUGUGAAAGCCCCGGGCUCAACCUGGGAACGGCAUCCGGAACUGUCAGGCUAGAGUGCAGGAGAGGAAGGUAGAAUUCCUGGUGUAGCGGUGAAAUGCGUAGAGAUCGGGAGGAAUACCAGUGGCGAAGGCGGCCUUCUGGACUGACACUGACGCUGAGGUGCGAAAGCGUGGGUAGCAAACAGGAUUAGAUACCCCAGUAGUC